GUUUAGGUAUCAUUACAUUAUGGA
rnacentral:siRNA from 1 species